CGUCUUUCCUGGUCGGCUCUGGUGCCCUGUGUUCCGCGGAAUAAACGCACUCCAGCUGGCCCUAUUGCUCCUUUUUCACGGUAAGCUCUGUGGUUGCAUCUGUGCACGGCGUAUGGAGACCAGUGUGAGUGAUAGUCAAUGAUCUUGGUUUCAGUGUUUUUUAAAAAAGAUAUUUGUGGCAGUAUCAAGAAGUAUUAAAUAUAAUCAUUGAAGGUAAACUUUGGCCCAUUGGUAAAAAUGGAAUUAAUAUAAAGCACUAUGUUGUUUAAUGCAUAUAUAUAGCAUUAGAUUUAAUUAAUGAAAACAUUGAAUUUAAUUAAUGAAAGAGGUGUACUGCUGUUAGUAAUAAUGACAUAGACAGAUAUUAGAGCUAUUUAAGGAUUUUGCUAUCAAGUUUUUGUGGCUCUUAGGUAAUUAUUUUAUUGUUAGUGAACUGGUAAAUUAAUCAAUAAAAACACGUAGACAUGAAUUAAGAAAAUGAGGUCCAAGCUUGAGCCAGUGAUGACAGCUGGUGGCGUUUGAGUCAUGGAUGAUGAAUAUUAAGUGUCUGGAACUCUGAGAUUCAGUAUAAUAGAAAUCUAAUUUAUUCCUCUGUUGAAAAAAAUAUGAGAUAGAUAUUAGAGAUAUCAAGAGUUAUUUGCUUUCAAUAUUACGGUUCAUGAAUUGUGAUUAUAUUAAUAUCAAUGAAUCAGUGAAAGAAUCAAACAAAGAUUUAAAUGAUUAAACGUGAAGAGAGAGAGGCAUAUUCUAAUUGUUAACAUGUGUGGCAAGGAAAGAAAUACUAUUAAUUAAUUUGGAAUGGGUAAUAAAUGGGUCAGUGGUUUUAACUCUCUGGCUAAGAAUCAUAUAACAAUUGAUAGGGCAAUAACACUGAUUAGUAGUUAUCAACGGAUAUGUGAUUUUUAGGUCAAUUCUCAGGUCAGCUGGGUCAGUUGUAAGUCCAAUACUUAUUUUAUGAAGGGGAAAAUAAGCAAAUAUUAACAUAAAUCAAUAAAUACCAACUGACAGAGCAAAUGGAAGGUAGAAUGGAAGAACUAAUGAUCCAAAGUCUCAAAUUGUGUCUUCUGCUCUUCCGUGGAAUCCUCAGAACAGUCACUUCCUGCACUGCUCCUGCCAUGGCCACUGCUCUGUGGUCGUUUUAAGGAACAUACAGACAAAUUAUGAACACACUCAAGCCAACAAUGAUUCUGUAAUGAUGAAGAUGGUUCAGUGAUGGACAGAUCAGAGCUGAUUUAAUUAUUCCCUGUGAUGAGGAACUUCAGCCCUCUGACUAAGGAGAAUGUCUUGCAAUCAAGGACAGCCUGGGUGAGUCAGUUCCUGGGCUGAGAUUUGUGUGGAAGGAACUCUACUGCUAUGAGCAAGGCAGCGGCCAUGCAAAGCACAGCUCCUGAAUCCAGGAUCGGGUCAUAGCCAGUGGCUAUCAGAGCCUCAGAAGGAAGAGCCAGCGGGAAACACCAGGUCCCGGGGCUGUAUGGGACAUUGGCCCGGCACAGGGAGGAGAACAAGUGGAUGUCCUCCUGCCUGGAGCCUGUGAAGGUGCAGUGGCUGAGCCACGCUUCCAGAGGAUGACGGUGAUGGGCUCAGCGUCUGUGUUGCUGGGUGAGCUGCUUUUCCUGGUUACGCUCUGAAAUACUUGUAUACCUGUGACUAAGGGCCAAACUCGUGCUAGAUGAUAGGCAGUCAAAGAUGGGCUUUGUGACAGGCUGGAGCGCCUGUGAUGGCCUCAGAGAGGGGCCAGAAUGCAUGUGCUUCUCACCAAGAACAUUCGCAAGCAGAGGCUGGGUCAUUGCUCACAGCUGCUUCUCUGCGUGGAGGGCAGGGCUGGCUAGAGAAUUCCCUUAUCUCUGGUCCCACCUAAGUGGCAGGAGGCGUGUUGACUUUGCAGCUGACCAGAUGCCAGCUUGAGAUGGGGCUCAGGGUGACGUUCACACUCCUGCCCGAAGGCUCUUUUAAAAAUUAUGUAGCUAAUUGCAUUCCAUUAAUUCAUUACCGUAAUGGAGAGUGCGAUAAGCAGGGAUCACGUACGUUUUCCCCAUGAAACAGCCUCAGCUAAUGGCUAACAUUUAUUGCACGUAAUUUUUAAAAAUAUUUCUCCCAUUAAAAAAGCAAUACAUGUUUAUUAUAAAAAGCUUGAACAAUAUUGAAAUAUUGGACAAGUGUAAGAGCAAGAAUCUCCCUAGUUCCUCCACUCAGAGAUCACCAUUGCCAACAUAUUGGUGGCCAGCCUCUGCCUUUUGCUUUCUUCUAUAAAUUAGGUGUGUAUGUGGCUGUACGUGCUUAAUUGAGUUCAUCAUUGCCAUCCUGUUUUUUAUUUCCACUAAUUAUAUAUCCUGAACAUUUCCCAUGCCAUUAAGCAAUUUCUUAUCUUGUGCUUUUUAAUGGUUACAUAGGAUUCUAGCAAAUGGCUAUAUUGUAAUUAAUUUAAUUGGUUUGCUUUUAUUGAGUAUUAUUUAGAAGUUGGAUUGUGUAAGUUGGGGCAGACAUCUGUUUAUUCUUUCUCACGUACAUGUCUGAUUCACCUUCUGCAGUUCAUUCUAAAUGUGAAAUGUCGUGUCAAAAGCUGUGAGCGUUUUAUGGCCAAAUUGCCCUCUUAACACUUGUAUCAACUGACAUUCUCAGAAUUAGUUUAAAAGUACCUGUUUUUCUGGGAAUUAUCAAGGUUGAUUACCUUUGUCAAUUUGUCAAAACACAGCAUUUUGUUCUUUUCAUUGGCAAUCAUUUUAUUACCUGUGAUAAAGAACAUUUCUCCCUAUCUUUUUUGGUUAUCUGUAUCUGAAUUGCCAGUUCAGGUUCUUUUCAUUUUUCAUUUAGUUUUUAUUUUCAUCAAAGACAUGCAUAUGCAUCGUUUUAAGAGUCAAAGAGUUCCACAGGAUCCUUGCAGAGCAUCAGGAUCAGGCCUCCAGCCCUCCCAGCUCCACCCUAAUUUCUGCUUAGUGGAACCAAUAGUUUCUAACUCCUUUCACUGGUUCUCUUGACAUUUACAUUUGUAUAUCCAAGUCACAUUGUUUUUCUCUUCUACUUCUUGAUUUUCUUUUUCUUUUUUGAGGCGUAGGCAUUAUCUUGACUUUGCGACUGUAGAAGAUGAGGAUUUGACUCCUUGGUGUCACUGUGCCCUCCUUUCUUCUUUCUGUGCACCAUCCUCAAUAUUUUUAGUACGUAGUUUGGGUUUGAUCCAAAUUCAGAGUUCACCUUUUUAUGUGAGUGUAAGCACUGCUGAAUUCUGAGCAACAUAGCACUACGAUUCACCUUUCCUUCGUGACUAUUUUUUCUUUGGGAGUUAAUAAUUACCUUGUAUUUUUUUCUCUUUGAUUGGUUGGUUAGUUUUUUUUAUAAGCCUAGCUGAUUUAUUACUAGCCUUUCAAUAUAUACACAUUAUUUUUAAUUUUUUAAAAUGUGUUUUAUCCUAUCUAGAAAUAUCUUCCUAGAGCCUCCUGGCUGGUUUUGUUGUAAACUGGGUAAUCUUUAGGCUUCUGGACACCAUCUUAGUAUCUCUUUGACGUUCUCCUUCUGAGGAUUCCUUUGAGCCUCUCUCCUUAGCUGGAUUUUGUAGAUUACCUGCUUUUGUAGAUUCUGUGUUAUCAUCCUUUUUGGCUUACUCCCUUGUUUUGCUAGAGUGCAUCCUCUAGCAGCUUCUGUAGAAAUGCUUAAUGGAAGGUAAAUUUUUAGAGACCUUUCGCCUCUAAAAAGGAAAAUGUCUAGUCCACAUUGACAUUGAAAGUUCGGCCGGGUAUAGAAUUCGAAGUUGGAAACCUUCUUUUAUUUUGGCUCAGAUUUUGAAAGCAUAAAUCAUUAUCUUGUGACUUUCAAUGCUAUUGGCGAGAGGUCUUAAGUCUUAGUGAUUCCUCAUCCCUUCUAUGUGAUUUGUUUUCUUCCUUUCUGGAACUUGUAGAACUUUCUCAUUGUCUUCCAAUGUUUUAAAAUUUCACAUGUUUUUGUCUUGAUGUAGAUCUAUGUUUAUCCAUUUUUCCAGGUUCUUUUAAUCCGAAGACACUUGUCCUUCAGUUCUAGAAACUUGUGUUAAACAACUGGUUGGAUCAUUUCCUCAUAUUUGUUUUCUC